AUUGAACGCUGGCGGCAUGCCUUACACAUGCAAGUCGAACGGCAGCACGGGUUCUUGCACCUGGUGGCGAGUGGCGAACGGGUGAGUAAUAUAUCGGAACGUACCUUAUUGUGGGGGAUAACGCAGCGAAAGCUGUGCUAAUACCGCAUAAUACCUAAGGGGGAAAGCGGGGGACCGUAAGGCCUCGCGCAAUUAGAGCGGCCGAUACCUGAUUAGCUAGUUGGUGAGGUAAAGGCUCACCAAGGCAACGAUCAGUAGCUGGUCUGAGAGGACGAUCGGCCAACCUGGGACUGAGACACGGCCCAGACUCCUACGGGAGGCAGCAGUGGGGAAUUGUGGACAAUGGGGGCAACCUGAUCCAGCAAUGCCGCGUGAGUGAAGAAGGCCUUCGGGUUGUAAAGCUCUUUUGUCAGGGAAGAAACAGCAGCUCUAACACAGUUUGCGAAUGACGGUACCUGAAGAAUAAGCACCGGCUAACUACGUGCCAGCCGCCGCUGUAA
rnacentral:rRNA from 1 species